rnacentral:tRNA from 1 species
GGCGGCAUAGCCAAGUGGCAAGGCGAUGGUCUGCAAAACCAUUAUUCCCCGGUUCAAAUCCGGGUGCCGCCU